GAUGAACGCUGGCGGCGUGCCUAAUACAUGCAAGUCGAGCGAACAGACGAGGAGCUUGCUCCUCUGACGUUAGCGGCGGACGGGUGAGUAACACGUGGAUAACCUACCUAUAAGACUGGGAUAACUUCGGGAAACCGGAGCUAAUACCGGAUAAUAUAUUGAACCGCAUGGUUCAAUAGUGAAAGACGGUUUUGCUGUCACUUAUAGAUGGAUCCGCGCCGCAUUAGCUAGUUGGUAAGGUAACGGCUUACCAAGGCAACGAUGCGUAGCCGACCUGAGAGGGUGAUCGGCCACACUGUAACUGAGACACGUUCCAGACUCCUACGGGAGGCAGCAGUAGGGAAUCUUCCGCAAUGGGCGAAAGCCUGACGGAGCAACGCCGCGUGAGUGAUGAAGGUCUUCGGAUCGUAAAACUCUGUUAUUAGGGAAGAACAAAUGUGUAAGUAACUAUGCACGUCUUGACGGUACCUAAUCAGAAAGCCACGGCUAACUACGUG
rnacentral:rRNA from 1 species